rnacentral:rRNA from 1 species
CCUACGGGGGGCAGCAGUGGGGAAUAUUGCACAAUGGGGGAAACCCUGAUGCAGCGACGCCGCGUGAGUGAAGAAGUAUUUCGGUACGUAAAGCUCUAUCAGCAGGGAAGAAAAGGACGGUACCUGACUAAGAAGACCCGGCUAACGACGUGCCAGCAGCCGCGGUAAUACGUAGGGGGCAAGCGUUAUCCGGAUUUACUGGGUGUAAAGGGAGCGUAGACGGCAGCGCAAGUCUGGAGUGAAAUCCCAUGGCUUAACCCUGGAACUGCUUUGGAAACUGUGCAGCUAGAGUGCAGGAGAGGUAAGCGGACUUCCUAGUGUAGCGGUGCAAUGCGUAGAUAUUAGGAGGCACACCAGUGGCGCCGGCGGCUUACUGGACUGUACCUGACGUUGCGGCUCGAAAGCGUGGGGAGCCAACAGGAUUAGCUACCCGAGUAGUC